rnacentral:ncRNA from 2 species
AUCCAAUAUUGGCUCCGAGCUGCAACACCUGUCACAAAGUUCAUGGCGGUGCAGCCUGGGCGGCGGCGUUUUUGCCGCGCGCCCGCACGGUUUUGCUGGAAACGGCAGGGCCUUCUGUUUUGAAAAGGAGCAAUACAUAGGCGGCGC